rnacentral:rRNA from 1 species
ACGGAGGGUGCAAGCGUUAAUCGGAAUUACUGGGCGUAAAGCGUGCGCAGGCGGUCUGUUAAGUCUGUUGUGAGAUCCCCGAGCUCAACUUGGGAAUUGCAAUGGAUACUGGCAGGCUGGAGUACGGUAGAGGAAGGUGGAAUUCCCGGUGUAGCAGUGAAAUGCGUAGAGAUCGGGAGGAACACCAGUGGCGAAGGCGACCAUCUGGGACAACACUGACGCUGAAGCACGAAAGCGUGGGGAGCAAACAGGA